GUAUUAUCUUUUCAUUCAUCAAAGAAUCCUAAAACAAUGAUGAGUUUCAACAAUGACUUUUGAUCACCCUCUCAGUAAUAUCUUGACGGUGACUGCUAACUUCACCUGCAUGCAUAAAUUAUUAUUAAAACAACAUUAGAAUCAGUUUCAGUCUAAUUAAAGUGUAUGGUGAUGGUAUUUUCGUAACAACUCAGGCUAUGUUGCCAAAGCAGAAUGCAAUAAGUAGGUUAUGUCAACAUUGGAACUGAGAAGAAUGUGUACAAAAUUUUGAAGGGGGGUGUGCAAUGCUGUUUCAUGCAUUUAGAGUUAUUUACACUGUUAAAGAGUUGGAUUCUCAUGCUAAGCAUGGACAAAAUUUCAAAAAACAAAUUGGACGUAUGACAGAGUAUUUCUGUGCUAAAAAUCUUACUUCAGGGUUUGUUCAAGUUUUGGAGAGUUUUUUUUUCCGAUUGUGGCUCUUCACGACGUAGACAAGGGUGGAACUCCUUAUAUGGGCAUUUCUCCCAGAAGAGAAAUGCCCAUAUAAGGGCACACAUCGACCAGAGCAAGAGCGAAAUCGUGCUCAACAAUGUGCUUCAUCCGGCGGCAGUGUUGCAUGGGACUCGCUCGGGAAGAAUGUCUGUAAAGAAGUGUGUUUUUGGUUGUAAGGGAAAGAUAACUUUGUUCAUCUUCCUAAAGAACCAAGUGUUAUGUAAACAGUGGAUGCAGUUUGUUUUUCCAAAGCAGCAACGCAGUUUUACAAGCGUGUCUGUUGUCGAUGGUUUUAUAAACAAGUCGCAGUUCGACGCUGGAUUUGCACAUCGUUUGAUACUGAAAGAUGAAGCAGUCCCAGCUGUAAAAGAUCCCCAUCAUGAUUCAGAACUGCAGACGAAACCCUGCCCUGAGCUGACUUUACUUCUUCUCUGAAGGAUGGCUGCUCAUUCAGAUCUCACAAAAUGAAUGUUUAAAGAAAGCCAAGACGCCACCAGGUAAGAAAACAGCAAAACAAAGAACAGAGAAACGUAGGAGGUCUGUGCUUUUAGCUGCAUUCCUGUCCUUAUGCUCUUUUCGCGUACAUUCCUUUAUGAAUACAUUAAGAUUAAUUUGACCCCUUUUACAAAUACAAAUUUCCCCAUUUAUCUCUUGCCCUCCCUAAUCUCUGACACUCAUCAUCUGUUCAUUAAAGCUACCUUUGCCUGGGUGCAUUAUUUGGCUCUGGAGUCUCUAAACAGGCUUUGUUCUUUAUUACACAGUUGCCCCAGUGCAUUCCGCAAACUCAUUAAAAAACUAUUAGCGCCUGUUGAUUUCUCAGAUGCUCCCCCAUUAUUAGAUAAGAUCUACUCUUAGAGAGGCAUUCACAGGGUACCGGCUCAUUUUGUUUGUGUCUCGACCUGCUCAUCCAUUUGUGUGUCCAGAAUUACUGCAUGCACACUUUUCAUCCGCUUGUAUGUUUAAGUGCACUUCGAAAGAAAACUGCAACAUAGGCGUUUACAUUUAUGUGUAUUUAUUCAUGCUGGCAGGAGCAAUUUAUAUGUUUUACAAGGGAAUAUGUGUUAACAUGGUUUUAUCAUUUCAUGUUCAUGCCCUUCUCCCAUCUCACCUGGUCCCAGCUGUGUUGUAGCCCUCCAGUGCUGAAAGGGACCCCUGUCUUUCUUUCUUUCUGUGUGCAGAAAGGAGAGAAUAUGAAGGCAAUAAAAGUUCCGUGCUAGGCCUGGCGGAACUGCA
ensembl:lncRNA